rnacentral:lncRNA from 10 species
CAACGGGACACUCCGAGGCAUCUGCAGCUGCUUUUAGAUCUGACAUGGAAGCCCUGAGUGGCCUCAUCCCCCUUUGCCACAUCCCCAUCCAACUUGCUGUCUUUUCACUCAGUGAUUAAGGCAGGAUUUAAGUGCUGCUUCUGGGACUUCUCAAUUCAUUCCUUUGAACUCAUCAGGAAUUCUAACCAUUUGCAAUCUGCCUCUGCUAGAAUCUUGGCAUGAGUGUAUCUGAACCUGGACAUCCCGGAUGGCCCCAGGUGAUUCUGGUGCUGACCGGUGUGGAACUGAACAUGAAGGAGGCAGAGCUGGACCACAGUUCCUUGGAGACCGAUGAGCGAAAUGGGCCUCCCUGGAGAACAAUGAGGGGAUAGAUGCUGUGAGGAGGAGAGAAGGUGGUCAGGUGGCUGGAUGCGUUGAGACCCUGCACUCCCAGAGGCUCAGGAGGGAGAGAGGAAUGUGGUCAGUGGGGAGCCAGGGGGUGGGAAGCUUCUCCAAGGGAAUCAGGGACAGGACCUCAACAGAAGGCUGUGUGCAUAAUCACCAUGCACAACUCUCCAUCCAUUCCAGGCCUACUGCGUACGUGGGGGAUGGCAUCUGGAACAUCACGGAAUCUCUAUGAGCCGCAGUUUCCUCAUCAGCUAAAGAGGGAAGCACUGGCCUGAGCAGGUGGUUGUGAGAAUUAAGUGUCAACAUGUACAGCACCCGGCACACAGCAAGAACUCAAAGCUUCCUAAAACUGCCUCCACGUCUCCAUCAUGCAACCAAAUAUCCCUGUGUGCAGGACUUAAGGCCAUGAGGCUGUGCCACAGAGGGGAGGAAGGGCAGCCAGGAACACUCUCUGACCCUGAGAAUGCCAGGAGAGGUCACUGGAACAGAACCAACUCUGAAGCCCUCGGCUGGG